AUCACAUGGAAAGGAAGGGCAGGUGACCCCUAGGGGUUGAGGGUCUCAGUCCUACAACUGCAAGGAGCUGAAUUCGCACGACAACCAGUGCAUUGGGAAGAGGGACCCUGAGUCUAUGACGCGAGAGCUAUUGUGCGAGGUCAUAAAGAGCAUGUGGUCACCAGUUGACCUUCAGGCUGGUCAGCCAAUGGACACUCAUCACUCCCUCCCCCGUCCUUGGAUGGUACAUUCUGCUUGCCUCCCCCAUUCCCAGAGGCUGCCCCAAAGAUACAGCCUUGAGAUAGCUUGUGUUGACAGCCUGUGGCUGUGUGGGGGCCAGAUUCAGAUGGCAUCCGAGGAGCUCCCAGCCCUGGCUGCCACCUUGAUUUCAGCCUGGUGAGACCCUGAGCAGGAGACCCAGCUAACCUGGACCUUGGCUCUCGACCUUUGGAAACUGCAAGCAAGUCACAGCUUCAAAGCCCCUCCAUGUGCUCAUCAAGACCCAGUCUCACCAGGCAGAAGAAAGGACUCUUAAGGACUCCAGGAUGCUCUGCUCUAAGCUGGAGGCAGUCCUGCUGUCACAAAUGAGUGAGUCUCCGGGGGCCCGACGAGGGGUCCGCAGGGCUGGGCUCUGUCCCACCUUCCCAGACCUCGGCGUGAGACCACAGGGCACCUGUCGUCUCUUCCUCAUUGUCUACCUGAUCUCUUCUUGUUCAUCUGUGGGGACCAUCUCCUCCGGGAAGCCUCCCUGAGUGCAGUCUGAGUCAGCCUCCUUGGCCAGGGUCCUGUUGCCCACGGACUUUGCCUUCAGAGCAACUGUGAUUGACAACCUAUCCGA